UACAGAGGGUGCAAGCGUUGUUCGGAAUUAUUGGGCGUAAAGCGCGCGCAGGUGGUUCCUUAAGUCUGAUGUGAAAGCCCACGGCUCAACCGUGGAGGGUCAUUGGAAACUGGGGAACUUGAGUGCAGAAGAGGAAAGUGGAAUUCCAAGUGUAGCGGUGAAAUGCGUAGAGAUUUGGAGGAACACCAGUGGCGAAGGCAGCUCGCUGGGACGUGACUGACGCUGAGACGCGAAAGCGUGGGGAGCAAACAGG
rnacentral:rRNA from 1 species